GAAUGCUGACAUAAGUAACGAUAAAGCGGGUGAAAAGCCCGCUCGCCGGAAGACCAAGGGUUCCUGUCCAACGUUAAUCGGGGCAGGGUGAGUCGACCCCUAAGGCGAGGCCGAAAGGCGUAGUCGAUGGGAAACGGGUUAAUAUUCCCGUACUUGGUGUUACUGCGAAGGGGGGACGGAGAAGGCUAUGUUGGCCGGGCGACGGUUGUCCCGGUUUAAGCGUGUAGGUGUGUGUUCCAGGUAAAUCCGGUUCACUUUAACACUGAGGCGUGACGACGAGGCACUACGGUGCUGAAGCAACAAAUGCCCUGCUUCCAGGAAAAGCCUCUAAGCAUCAGGUAACAUCAAAUCGUACCCCAAACCGACACAGGUGGUCAGGUAGAGAAUACCAAGGCGCUUGAGAGAACUCGGGUGAAGGAACUAGGCAAAAUGGUGCCGUAACUUCGGGAGAAGGCACGCUGACACGUAGGUGAAGUGAUUUACUCAUGGAGCUGAAGUCAGUCGAAGAUACCAGCUGGCUGCAACUGUUUAUUAAAAACACAGCACUGUGCAAACACGAAAGUGGACGUAUACGGUGUGACGCCUGCCCGGUGCCGGAAGGUUAAUUGAUGGGGUCAGCGCAAGCGAAGCUCCUGAUCGAAGCCCCGGUAAACGGCGGCCGUAACUAUAACGGUCCUAAGGUAGCGAAAUUCCUUGUCGGGUAAGUUCCGACCUGCACGAAUGGCGUAAUGAUGGCCAGGCUGUCUCCACCCGAGACUCAGUGAAAUUGAACUCGCUGUGAAGAUGCAGUGUACCCGCGGCAAGACGGAAAGACCCCGUGAACCUUUACUAUAGCUUGACACUGAACAUUGAGCCUUGAUGUGUAGGAUAGGUGGGAGGCUUUGAAGUGUGGACGCCAGUCUGCAUGGAGCCGACCUUGAAAUACCACCCUUUAAUGUUUGAUGUUCUAACGUGGACCCGUUACCCGGGUUGCGGACAGUGUCUGGUGGGUAGUUUGACUGGGGCGGUCUCCUCCUAAAGAGUAACGGAGGAGCACGAAGGUUGGCUAAUCCUGGUCGGACAUCAGGAGGUUAGUGCAAUGGCAUAAGCCAGCUUGACUGCGAGCGUGACGGCGCGAGCAGGUGCGAAAGCAGGUCAUAGUGAUCCGGUGGUUCUGAAUGGAAGGGCCAUCGCUCAACGGAUAAAAGGUACUCCGGGGAUAACAGGCUGAUACCGCCCAAGAGUUCAUAUCGACGGCGGUGUUUGGCACCUCGAUGUCGGCUCAUCACAUCCUGGGGCUGAAGUAGGUCCCAAGGGUAUGGCUGUUCGCCAUUUAAAGUGGUACGCGAGCUGGGUUUAGAACGUCGUGAGACAGUUCGGUCCCUAUCUGCCGUGGGCGCUGGAGAACUGAGGGGGGCUGCUCCUAGUACGAGAGGACCGGAGUGGACGCAUCACUGGUGUUCGGGUUGUCAUGCCAAUGGCACUGCCCGGUAGCUAAAUGCGGAAGAGAUAAGUGCUGAAAGCAUCUAAGCACGAAACUUGCCCCGAGAUGAGUUCUCCCUGAGACUUAAAGUCU
rnacentral:rRNA from 2 species